AUUGAACGCUGGCGGCAUGCCUUACACAUGCAAGUCGAACGGCAGCGCGGGAGCAAUCCUGGCGGCGAGUGGCGAACGGGUGAGUAAUAUAUCGGAACGUGCCCAGUAGUGGGGGAUAGCCCGGCGAAAGCCGGAUUAAUACCGCAUGAGACCUGAGGGUGAAAGCGGGGGAUCGCAAGACCUCGCGCUAUUGGAGCAGCCGAUAUCAGAUUAGCUAGUUGGUGGGGUAAAGGCCUACCAAGGCAACGAUCUGUAGUUGGUCUGAGAGGACGACCAGCCACACUGGGACUGAGACACGGCCCAGACUCCUACGGGAGGCAGCAGUGGGGAAUUUUGGACAAUGGGCGCAAGCCUGAUCCAGCAAUGCCGCGUGCAGGAAGAAGG
rnacentral:rRNA from 1 species